rnacentral:rRNA from 1 species
GACGAACGCUGGCGGCGUGCUUAACACAUGCAAGUCGAACGAAGUGGCGAACGGGUGAGUAACGCGUAAUCCAACUGCCAGUCAGAAGGGGACAACAGUGGGAAACGAUUGCUAAUACCGCAUACUGAAGGUGGGGAUUGCGGCGGAUUCGCUAGUGGGGGGGGUAACGGCCAACAAAGGCGAUGAUCAGUAGCUGGUCUGAGAGGAUGAACGGCCACAUUGGGACUGAGACACGGCCCAGACUCCUACGGGAGGCAGCAGUAGGGAAUCUUCGACAAUGGGCGAAAUUCUGACCGAGCAACGCCGCGUGAAUGAAGAAGGUUUUCGGAUCGUAAAGCUCUGUUGGUAGGGAAGCGUUAUCGAAAGAGAAAGCCACGGCUAACUCCGUGCCAGCAGCCGCGGUAAUAC